rnacentral:rRNA from 1 species
AUGAAGUUGGAAUUGCUAGUAAUGGCAGGUCAGCAUACUGCCGUGAAUACGUUCCCGGGCCUUGUACACACCGCCCGUCACACCAUGAGAGUUGGAAAUACCCGAAGCCUGUGAGCUAACUUAAAGAGGCAGCAGUCGAAGGUAGGGCCAAUGAUUGGGGUGAAGUCGUAACAAGGUAAC